rnacentral:tRNA from 1 species
AGGCCAGUAGCUCAAUGGGCAGAGCAACGGUCUCCAAAACCGUAGGUUGCGGGUUCAAGUCCUGCCUGGCCUGCCA